ACUCCUGCGGGAGGCAGCAGUGGGGAAUUUUGGACAAUGGGCGAAAGCCUGAUCCAGCAAUGCCGCGUGAGUGAAGAAGGCCUUCGGGUUGUAAAGCUCUUUUGUCAGGGAAGAAACGGUGAAAGCUAAUAUCUUUUGCUAAUGACGGUACCUGAAGAAUAAGCACCGGCUAACUACGUGCCAGCAGCCGCGGUAAUACGUAGGGUGCAAGCGUUAAUCGGAAUUACUGGGCGUAAAGCGUGCGCAGGCGGUUUUGUAAGUCUGAUGUGAAAUCCCCGGGCUCAACCUGGGAAUUGCAUUGGAGACUGCAAGGCUAGAAUCUGGCAGAGGGGGGUAGAAUUCCACGUGUAGCAGUGAAAUGCGUAGAUAUGUGGAGGAACACCGAUGGCGAAGGCAGCCCCCUGGGUCAAGAUUGACGCUCAUGCACGAAAGCGUGGGGAGCAAACAGGAUUAGAUACCCUUGUAGUCCCA
rnacentral:rRNA from 1 species